AUUGAACGCUGGCGGCAUGCCUUACACAUGCAAGUCGAACGGUAACAGGUCUUCGGAUGCUGACGAGUGGCGAACGGGUGAGUAAUACAUCGGAACGUGCCCGAUCGUGGGGGAUAACGAAGCGAAAGCUUUGCUAAUACCGCAUAAGAUCUACGGAUGAAAGCAGGGGACCGCAAGGCCUUGCGCGAGCGGAGCGGCCGAUGGCAGAUUAGGUAGUUGGUGGGAUAAAAGCUUACCAAGCCGACGAUCUGUAGCUGGUCUGAGAGGACGACCAGCCACACUGGGACUGAGACACGGCCCAGACUCCUACGGGAGGCAGCAGUGGGGAAUUUUGGACAAUGGGCGAAAGCCUGAUCCAGCCAUGCCGCGUGCAGGAUGAAGGCCUUCGGGUUGUAAACUGCUUUUGUACGGAACGAAAAGACUCUUUCUAAUAAAGAGGGUCCAUGACGGUACCGUAAGAAUAAGCACCGGCUAACUACGCGCCAGCCGCCGCCGUAACAC
rnacentral:rRNA from 1 species